rnacentral:misc_RNA from 1 species
UACCAAGACAGACACUUCUAUGGAAUUCUAAGCUCAGUAGCAAGCAAAGAAAUAACUUAACAAACAAAACGACAAUGAAUUCUAACGAACCCAAAAAACUUAAAUUCAACUUCACUUCGUUUGGCUUGGAAUCAUACCCGUCUUCCUUGCAUAUGCAAAAAUCCCACCAGCCUCGAUAACAGGACCUGCAUCCCCAAUAGGCUUGAGCUUGUAUUCUUUCCCCGUCGUAUGGUUGAUCAAACGGCUUUCUCCGAGCUCGAUUGUCACCACGUCGCCGGUCUUACAUUCAUCGCAAAUCCUAAUCUCCGAUUCUAAUGGAUAAAUCUCUCCGGUUGCCACCGAAUUUCUGAAGAAUAUACGCGCAUAAGAUUCAGCAACCACAGCCACGGCGCCGGACGCUCCCAACGCAACCGGCGCGUGCUCUCUUGAAGAACCGCAGCCGAAGUUGUCGCCGG